UUUACUCUUGUUUUGGCCCUAUCUUUUAUAUAUGUUGUUUUUCUCCUGCUCCAUUCUCUAUUCUCGCCACCCAGAAUUCAUCACCACCAUGGCAAUCAGCAGCAACAACGACUCCACCACCACUAGCAGCGACUCCACUAGAAACAACAACCGAUGUUGAAACCUGACGGGAUGGCACUGGAUUAUGGUUUUAAAUACCAGUGAAGCUAUUAUAGAGUACGCCCUCAUUUGGGAAGAAAUGACGGGUCAACUAAUAUUGAAAGGCGUGGCUUCCUUCGAAGGGCUUAAUUAGGGAAGAAAGCAUUGGAUAAGCAUGAAUGGUAAUUGGAGAAAAUGGCCACUCUACUGCAUAAUCCUGGGUUCUAGUUAGCCUCAAAAUUUUUGGCAGCUUAUCUAGGGUAUGCAUUUCAAAACUUUAUCAAUGAUGAGAAUUGGGGUUUUAGGACAUGAUAAUGUUCUUUAGGCCAACUCAAUAAUGGCAUUUUUAUGCUUGAUGUCUUUCUCUUGCUGGGUUUUUAUCGACUGCUCAAUUGCAUGUACAAGCUAUCCUGUUAGCUAUUGAACAGGUAUUGUAAGAGCAGCUUAUAAUGAUGUCUAGGCCUAUGUUACUUGUGUUUAGUGUUAAUGUUCUUAACUCGCUCCCAGUUUAAGUGGAUAAAAAAAUAAAAUGUUCUUCAGGAUAA